rnacentral:rRNA from 1 species
UACGUAGGGUCCGAGCGUUGUCCGGAAUUAUUGGGCGUAAAGGGCUCGUAGGCGGUUUGUCGCGUCGGGAGUGAAAACACGGGGCUUAACCCCGUGCCUGCUUCCGAUACGGGCAGACUAGAGGUAUGCAGGGGAGAACGGAAUUCCUGGUGUAGCGGUGAAAUGCGCAGAUAUCAGGAGGAACACCGGUGGCGAAGGCGGCUCUCUGGGCAUUACCUGACGCUGAGGAGCGAAAGUGUGGGGAGCGAACAGG